CCUACGGGUGGCUGCAGUUAGGAAUCUUCCCCAAUGGGCGCAAGCCUGAGGGAGCGACACUGCAUGAAGGAUGAAGGUUUUCGGAUUGUAAACUUCUGAACCUGGGACGAAUAAUGACGGUACCAGGGUAAUAGCACCGGCUAACUCUGUGCCAGCAGCCGCGGUAAUACAGAGGGUGCGAGCGUUAUCCGGAAUUACUGGGCGUAAAGGGCGUGUAGGUGGUUUGUUAAGUUCGAUGUUAAAUACUGAAGCUCAACUUCAGCAUGGCGUUGAAU
rnacentral:rRNA from 1 species